UCAGAGAGGGGAUUGGCGAACAGCUAAUCAAGAGUGUUUAAAGUGGUAGAGUCUUAACCCAGAAUUGCCUCAUCCGUGUUGCUCGUUUAUCUCUUUUUUAUAGAUGAUUCUGAUAUAACCGUCGAGCACGUGGUCCCGUUUUUUAUGGCGCUAAAUUAUCGGGUCAUAAUCAUGGAGUUAAUGGACUGUUUAUUCCCAUUAAUGGCCAUGACAC
rnacentral:lncRNA from 1 species